UAAAGAAAGCGUAAUAGCUCACUGGUCGAGUCGGCCUGCGCGGAAGAUGUAACGGGGCUAAACCAUGCACCGAAGCUGCGGCAGCGACACUGUGUGUUGUUGGGUAGGGGAGCGUUCUGUAAGCCUGUGAAGGUGGCCUGUGAGGGUUGCUGGAGGUAUCAGAAGUGCGAAUGCUGACAUAAGUAACGAUAAAGCGGGUGAAAAGCCCGCUCGCCGGAAGACCU
rnacentral:rRNA from 1 species